AAGUCGUAACAAGGUUUCCGUAGGUGAACCUGCGGAAGGAUCAUUAACACGUAUCCAACGUUAAACCCCCCGUGAACUUUUAUUGCGAACCACGCCUUUGUUAAAAAGUAGCAAUCCCUGGUAAAUCAUCGCCAAACAGUUUUGAUUCAGGGAUCUCUGCGAAGAGAGCGGUUGUAGCGCGAGGUAAGUGGCCUGGCAUUCCUCUGCUUGUUAGUGUCUGACAGUGUCACUAGCUCUGUACGAAUGGCGCAGUCACGAUCGCUGGAGGCCGACACGGCCGGCGACCGGGUCACCCUAUCACCUUUGCAUGAAAACGGGCCUGCGCUUAAUUGUGCGGCCACCAAACUCGAACAACUGUUAACAAUGGAUAUCUUGGUUCUC
rnacentral:misc_RNA from 1 species